CUUGAGCUGUCUUGUCUCUUACAAAACUUUCCGUUUUCUUACACAACUGUUAAAAAGAACAGAGUCGUUCUCAGAGUUUUGUAUUGCCCCAGACAUCUCAUAUCCCAAAACUCAUGUCUCCUUCUUUUAUAGAAUCUUUAAUUUCUUCAACCACGUGAAAGAGAAUCUAUUAAAACUCUUGACUUGUCCUGUUUUUCGUACGACUCUUUUUUUUUUUCCACUCAAUGACCAUUUCUCUUGAUCAAGACAUUUCAUCUCCCAAAAACCAUGUCUAUUUAUAAUAGCAACAGCUCGAAUUUAUGUUCUUCAACCACGUGGAAGCUAAUAAACUUUCCCUCAACUGUCUUCUUUCUUAUA